CUAGCGACUUUCAGAGUUUGAUCCUGGCUCAGGAUGAACGCUAGCGACAGGCCUAACACAUGCAAGUCGAGGGGCAGCAUGAAAUUUAGCUUGCUAAUUUUUGAUGGCGACCGGCGCACGGGUGAGUAACACGUAUGCAACCUGCCUGUAAGCGGGGGAUAACCCGGAGAAAUCCGGACUAACACCGCAUAGUAUCACAAUUUCGCAUGUUAUUGUGAUUAAAGAUUAAUUGCUUACAGAUGGGCAUGCGUCUGAUUAGCUAGUUGGCGGGGUAACGGCCCACCAAGGCAACGAUCAGUAGGGGUCCUGAGAGGAAGGUCCCCCACAUUGGAACUGAGACACGGUCCAA
rnacentral:rRNA from 1 species